rnacentral:rRNA from 1 species
UGAGUAACACGUAUCCAACCUGCCGUCUACUCUUGGCCAGCCUUCUGAAAGGAAGAUUAAUCCAGGAUGGCAUCAUGAGUUCACAUGUUCACAUGAUUAAAGGUAUUCCGGUAGACGAUGGGGAUGCGUUCCAUUAGAUAGUAGGCGGGGUAACGGCCCACCUAGUCUUCGAUGGAUAGGGGUUCUGAGAGGAAGGUCCCCCACAUUGGAACUGAGACACGGUCCAA